rnacentral:pre_miRNA from 1 species
AGCUUUCUGAAUCCGUGCUGAGAUUUCGUCUGAUACCCACCCAUUAGAGCUGAUCAGACUUCCAAGAUAAGUGAAGUU